rnacentral:snRNA from 12 species
AUACCUUUCUUUGGCUAAGAUCAAGUGUAGUAUCUGUUUUUAUCAGUUUAAUAUCUGAUAUGUGGGCCAAUGGCCCACACGAUAUUAAAUUAAUUUUUUAAGGGUGAGGGCCUAUCUCAGUAGCUUGCUGCUGGGGCUCUCGAUUGUCGCCCAUGCGUUGCACUAUUGCACGGGCCUGGCGCAUCCCAC